GACGAACGCUGGCGGCGUGCUUAACACAUGCAAGUCGGGCGAUGAAGUUCCUUCGGGAAUGGAUUAGCGGCGGACGGGUGAGUAACACGUGGGUAACCUGCCUCAUAGAGGGGAAUAGCCUUCCGAAAGGAAGAUUAAUACCGCAUAAGAUUGUAGUAUCGCAUGAUAUAGCAAUUAAAGGAGUAAUCCGCUAUGAGAUGGACCCGCGUCGCAUUAGCUAGUUGGUGAGGUAACGGCCCACCAAGGCGACGAUGCGUAGCCGACCUGAGAGGGUGAUCGGCCACAUUGGGACUGAGACACGGCCCAGACUCCUACGGGGGGCAGCAGUGGGGAAUAUUGCACAAUGGGGGAAACCCUGAUGCAGCAACGCCGCGUGAGUGAUGACGGUCUUCGGAUUGUAAAGCUCUGUCUUCAGGGACGAUAAUGACGGUACCUGAGGAGGAAGCCACGGCUAACUACGUGCCAGCAGCCGCGGUAA
rnacentral:rRNA from 1 species